ACCAGCGGAGGGAUCAUUACUGAGUUUACGCUCUAUAACCCUUUGUGAACAUACCUAUAACUGUUGCUUCGGCGGGUAGGGUCUCCGUGACCCUCCCGGCCUCCCGCCCCCGGGCGGGUCGGCGCCCGCCGGAGGAUAACCAAACUCUGAUUUAACGACGUUUCUUCUGAGUGGUACAAGCAAAUAAUCAAAACUUUUAACAACGGAUCUCUUGGUUCUGGCAUCGAUGAAGAACGCAGCGAAAUGCGAUAAGUAAUGUGAAUUGCAGAAUUCAGUGAAUCAUCGAAUCUUUGAACGCACAUUGCGCCCGCCAGCAUUCUGGCGGGCAUGCCUGUUCGAGCGUCAUUUCAACCCUCAAGCUCUGCUUGGUGUUGGGGCCCUACAGCUGAUGUAGGCCCUCAAAGGUAGUGGCGGACCCUCCCGGAGCCUCCUUUGCGUAGUAACUUUACGUCUCGCACUGGGAUCCGGAGGGACUCUUGCCGUAAAACCCCCAAUUUUCCAAAGGUUGACCUCGGAUCAGGUAGGAAUACCCGCUGAACUUAAGCAUAUCAAUAAGCGGAGGAG
rnacentral:rRNA from 1 species